CCAAAUAGUCCAUUAUUUGAGCUCAUGCGGCGUGCAUUUGAAGUAAUUCUUUUGUGCGAAGCCCGUUAAAGAGAUAGUUUAUAACUAUCCCAGCCUCUUUUUUUAUAGAUUCAUCCUGGCCAGAAGGAAUUUAUAAAAAGUAUAAGGAGGGUG
rfam:Ophiocordyceps sinensis CO18 unplaced genomic scaffold OCS_Scf_279, whole genome shotgun sequence.